UGGGGAAUAUUGCGCAAUGGGGGCAACCCUGACGCAGCAAUGCCGCGUGAAGGAUGAAGGUUUUCGGAUUGUAAACUUCUUUUACCAAGGACGAAACAAAUGACGGUACUUGGCGAAUAAGCCACGGCUAACUACGUGCCAGCAGCCGCGGUAAUACGUAGGUGGCAAGCGUUGUCCGGAUUUACUGGGUGUAAAGGGCGAGUAGGCGGGACUGCAAGUCAGCUGUGAAAACCCGGGGCUUAACCCCGGGCCUGCAGUUGAAACUGUAGUUCUUGAGUGAUGGAGAGGCAGGCGGAAUUCCCGGUGUAGCGGUGGAAUGCGUAGAUAUCGGGAGGAACACCAGUGGCGAAGGCGGCCUGCUGGACAUUAACUGACGCUGAGGAGCGAAAGCGUGGGGAGCAAACAGGAUUAGAUACCC
rnacentral:rRNA from 1 species